GAUUCCGCUGGGGGUUUCGGCUGUGGGUAUUUUAUACCCAACACCAGUCCCCCUACUUUCGAGUUUGAAUUUCAGAUGAUGGAAGUACAGAGAGAGAGAUGGGUACAGCCGAAAUCGUCCCUUCGAAUCCUGCGCACUGCCGCCUCCAGAUAUUUUGGCACUUAAUGUGCGUACGUCAGAGCCCGCUUUUUGGUGAAGGUGACCUGAAGAGUCUUUUCGGAACCCCCGUUGAAGCGCGAUCCCAAGCG
rnacentral:lncRNA from 1 species